CUUAUACUCCCUCCGUCCGAAAAUACUUGUCAUCAAAAUGGACAAAAAUGGAUGUAUCUAGAACUAAAGUACAUCUAGAUACAUCUCCUUUUAUCCAUUUUGAUGACAAGUAUUUCCGGACGGAGGGAGUAUCUU
rnacentral:pre_miRNA from 1 species